rnacentral:tmRNA from 1 species
UGACUUGGAUUAUUUAUUAUUAACGAUUAUAUUAGGCGUGUCGGGAAACCGACUAUGGCGAUAAACGCCUUGUGGAAUAGACGGAGCGGACCCGGGGGCGGUACCCGGCGCCUCCACCAAAAAGCCGAAGCCGGACUUAUAAUGAACGGCUUUUUGGCGGGGGCGAAAUAGGAUCGACGCACGCAGUAAAGACAUGGUUUUUGCCCGGCAUGAUUCCGCCGUUAUCGGGUCAUUCCUACAAGUGCCAACGACAAUGUUGACACUCGUGAAGUUGCGAUGGCUGCCUAAUCUUCGCUUUGCGGAGAUGAACAGCUUGUAGCUACACGCGGCUCGGGGGGUGCCGGGCAACAGAAACCCCCCACU